AUUGAACGCUGGCGGCAUGCUUUACACAUGCAAGUCGAACGGUAACAGGCCGCAAGGUGCUGACGAGUGGCGAACGGGUGAGUAAUGCAUCGGAACGUGCCCAGUCGUGGGGGAUAACGCAGCGAAAGCUGUGCUAAUACCGCAUACGAUCUAUGGAUGAAAGCGGGGGACCGUAAGGCCUCGCGCGAUUGGAGCGGCCGAUGUCAGAUUAGGUAGUUGGUGGGGUAAAGGCCUACCAAGCCGACGAUCUGUAGCUGGUCUGAGAGGACGACCAGCCACACUGGGACUGAGACACGGCCCAGACUCCUACGGGAGGCAGCAGUGGGGAAUUUUGGACAAUGGGCGCAAGCCUGAUCCAGCAAUGCCGCGUGCAGGAAGAAGGCCUUCGGGUUGUAAACUGCUUUUGUACGGAACGAAACGGUCCUGGCUAAUACCCGGGGCUAAUGACGGUACCGUAAGAAUAAGCACCGGCUAACUACGUGCCAGCAGCCGCAGUAAAAC
rnacentral:rRNA from 1 species